GCGAAGUGACGAAUGAAAUUCAUGCUCAAAUCACUGAUUUAUUAUGUGAUGUUAAAAUUGAAUCUCGACAGGUUCUGAUCGC